rnacentral:misc_RNA from 1 species
GAUGAAGAACGUAGCGAAAUGCGAUAGGUAGUGUGAAUUGCAGAUGUAACGUGAAUCAUCGAAUCUUUGAACGCAAAUUGCACUCUCUGGUAUUCCGGGGAGUAUGCCUGUUUGAGGGUCGCCAAAUCAACAUCGAAAUUCAUUUGCUUUUGUAAAUGUUUAUCGGAUUUGAGCCGUCUUUUUAUUUUUUUUAAAGUGGCUUAAAAUGUAUUUUUUUGGUAUCGAAAAACGUUAUUUUACGAUCCAAUCGAUCAACAAACAAACGUUUCGAAUGCCGUCUUUUAAUGUAAUACGUUUGACUGUGUCAUACAAUCAUGGUUUCAUUCGUAUACGAGUUUAAUUUUUGACCUCAAAUCAGGUAAGAACACCCGCUGAACUUAAGCAUAUCAAUAAGCGGAGGA